UAUGGCCAUACUAUCACCCUGAACACGCCUGAUCUCAUCUGAUCUCAGAAGCUAAGGAGGGUCGGGCCUGGUUAGUGCGUGGAUGGGAGACAUGGACAAAAGUAGUGUCCUGGGGAGGUCACAA
rnacentral:rRNA from 1 species